UAGUAGCUUUAAAAAGUCUUAGGCUCUUAGCUGUAAGUCUAUUUUCACACUUAUACCGUCUCUCUAUCUCUCUCUCUCUCUCUGUCUGCGGCGUGAGGCGAGCUUGGUUUAGUUACCGGCGGUCUCUAAUUCGCUUGGUGCAGGUCGGGAACUGCUUCGCUUGCCCUUAAUAUAUGCAUACACAUAUCGGAAUACCAUUGUUUCUGCGCUUGGUAGCGUAUUGAGAUUGGUUGGUUAUGGUUGUGGAGGGAAAUGGGCGAAUUGGAUCCCGCCUUGCAUCAACUGAAUCGGAGACCGCGGUGAAGCAGCGGUUGCAUGGAUCUCGCGUUUCUCGGUGGGUCGUGGUCAGAUCUCAGGUCAUGUGAGAUUUUUUUGAUAAUAUGCUGGAAGAAAUUGUGCAGAAUCUUUGAGCCAGAUAUUUGUUUUAGAAAAUGAUGCUGUUGAAAAUGAUGGCAUUUGUUCUUUGAAUCCUGAAGUUUGACAUUUGAAUGAUGUGUUGGGACCUUGGGAAGAAUUUUCAGGGCACAUAGAAAAAAGGAAAGAGCUAUAAAAGAGAGAGAAUCUUAGUGCAGGAGGGGAGAAAAAUGGUUCUUGAACGUCAUGUAUGCAGACUAUAUGCAUACAUCAUUAUCAUAGUAGAAAAUGCUAAGGAGUUGUUGUCCUUGAGGAUCUAGGCUUCAGCUUCAAAUCAGGGCCUUCAAUCGAAUAGAUUCUGUGUUUUGGGACGUCGGUCUGUUCUUUGGAAAGUUUGGUUUUUGCAUUCAAAUUUAGAUUGUGUGUGUGAACCAUACUCUAUUGACAUGAGCAUGGUGAUGCGAAACAAAAAAGGAGGAUUUUACUGCAUUCAUGGUUGUACCUUGUAGAGUGCAGGCAAAAUGGGAUUUCUUGUGAUGCCAAUUUCAGACAUUCUGUAAUUCCAUUUUCCUUUAUCUGGAAUUUCUUUUUAUUUUUCCUAAGAACAAAAAUACACAGAGAUGUAUGAGAUUCAUGUGGAAGAUGUUUAUUCGGAUUCAAAUCCUCUAGAAUUUGUCUGAGCCUUAUGUUUAGAACAGAAGAGAUAGAUACAUAAAAUCUUCUCUGUAACAUCUAUUGAACAUUUGUUUUUUUCAAAUCAAAUUAUGCCAUA